rnacentral:tRNA from 1 species
UCCCUGGUAGUCCAGUGGCUAAGACUCUGUGCUCCCAAUGCAGGGGCCCAGAUUUGAUCCCUGGUCAGGGAA